rnacentral:rRNA from 1 species
CCUACGGGCGGCAGCAGUGAGGAAUAUUGGUCAAUGGCCGAGAGGCUGAACCAGCCAAGUCGCGUGAGGGAAGACGGCCCUACGGGUUGUAAACCUCUUUUUUCGGGGAGCAAAGCGAACCACGUGUGGUUCAUUGAGCGUCCCCUACGAACAAGCAUCGGCUAACUCCGUGCCAGCAGCCGCGGUAAUACGGAGGAUGCGAGCGUUAUCCGGAUUUAUUGGGUUUAAAGGGUGCGUAGAUGGGUUGUUAAGUCAGUUGUGAAAGUUUGCGGCUCAACCGUAAAAUUGCAAUUGAUACUGGCAGUCUUGAGUACAGUUGAGGUAGGCGGAAUUCGUGGUGUAGCGGUGAAAUGCUUAGAUAUCACGAAGAACCCCGAUGGCGAAGGCAGCUUACUAAACUGUGACUGACAUUGAUGCUCGAAAGUGUGGGUAUCAAACAGGAUUAGAUACCCCAGUAGUC